GUACACUCCUACGGGAGGCAGCAGUGGGGAAUAUUGGACAAUGGGCGCAAGCCUGAUCCAGCCAUGCCGCGUGAGUGAUGAAGGCCCUAGGGUUGUAAAGCUCUUUCACCGGUGAAGAUAAUGACGGUAACCGGAGAAGAAGCCCCGGCUAACUUCGUGCCAGCAGCCGCGGUAAUACGAAGGGGGCUAGCGUUGUUCGGAUUUACUGGGCGUAAAGCGCACGUAGGCGGACUAUUAAGUCAGGGGUGAAAUCCCGGGGCUCAACCCCGGAACUGCCUUUGAUACUGGUAGUCUUGAGUUCGAGAGAGGGGAGUGGAAUUCCGAGUGUAGAGGUGAAAUUCGUAGAUAUUCGGAGGAACACCAGUGGCGAAGGCGGCUCACUGGCUCGAUACUGACGCUGAGGUGCGAAAGCGUGGGGAGCAAACAGGAUUAGAAACCCCGGUAGUCCCAUGAU
rnacentral:rRNA from 1 species